GCCUAUUGUUGGAACCUGCAGCCACAGUCUAGCUGGGUAAAAGCCUGCAGUCAGAGUCCGCAAACUGAUCCCUGCAGUCAGAGUUUAGCAGGAAAUAACCAGCAGUCAGAGGCUGCAAGGGAAACCUACAGCAGGAGCUUGCUGCAGGCAGAGUCAGUGACUGGUUGGAGUCAGGAUGGCUGAGCUGUAAGGAGGAAUAAACCAGGGCCCUUUUCAUGCUGUGAUAAAAAAGGAGUCUGUGUCUUGGCUCAUUUCGACCCUUUAACAAGUAGGCUGCUGCAGCAGAGCUAGUUACUUUGUAGUUAGAAUCUGUUCAAACUCUUUGCCCUAUGUUGGGAUUUUAUUUGCUGAUAUUAAGGGAGCAUCCGGCAUCCUGUGGAUAAGGAAAAUGACAGUCAGUUGUCUCCAUGCUCCUGUAAGCUAUGUGUUGUUAUUUCUGUUUUACACAGCCUGGUUGCCAUUGAUAAUUUCACAUCAAGUCAACGCACCUCAGAUCCUCUGGAACAAAAUGUUUGCUGCCCUUAGGUUCUGUACACUUCAGCUGCCGUGAAUUUUUAAGAGGGCUGCCUUGCUGGAUCAUCUCUCAACAAGUGAAUUUCGUUCUGGAGAUAGAAGGCAAUUGCUUUUUGGACACCACUGAAGUGUACCAGCACUUAUUUCCUGACUUUUCUCACUGCUGUCUUUGAUGGUGGCAGCACACCCGUGGUCACUGCUGUUCUCACUGGGUUGCUUUCUGAAGAUGGACUUGAUUACUUGUGCAUUCUGUACAGAGGGAAAAAAAAAAACAGAGGAAACUUCAUGCACUGGAGUUACCAAGGAAUGCAAGAACAUGAUCAUGUACCAUGCGAUACCACUGCACACCCAAUUUCUUUGUAUGCGUUUGUGUUCAGAAAGCAAAGCCUGCUGAAGAACCUCGGGCUGAAAGGAGGCCUUGCAAACAAAAUGGUUUAAUGCACUGUGUUGAUGGGAUAACAAGUUACAGUCACAGUUCUAUUGACAUCAUUGAUGGUGCUGAAUCCCAGACAAGGACAAAAAUGAAGAGGUUUUUUUGAAAGAAACACAGAAAAACUGUGUUUGUUAUAGGAAAAAUCUGUUCAAUCUCAACAGAAAUAUCACAGCUGGCUGAACAUAUUGCGAGAUCUGUGCUAACUAGAACUGUCUCAACACUGCAUGGGCUAUGCAUUACACAAGUCCCGGGCCAGUACCAGAUGAUGAUGAAGAGCGUGAAACAGCUGUCAGAUAUCUUAGCCCUGCUUAUCUGGAUUAGAAAACUUAUUGGGAGGCCCACUUUUCUUCAAACCUUCCUGACAGAAAAUGGGACAAUGGGAAAAGAGGUGUUUUUUUUCACCUUGUUUACCCUAGAAAUGUGAUUCCAGUAAUCACUGGAGACAAUGGAGGAAACAAGCUAAACAAUUGCUGUUCCCAGGAAAAAAUGGCAAGACCAUGAUAAGGCACAAAGUGUGAACGAUCUCCAAACAGUGGUGACAGCAAUGCUUCUUCAAGACUUUUCCUGAAAUGGUCUGAAUUUUUUAGCUUAAGGAUUUUGUUUGGUGGCAGCAAUAUAAUGGAUGCCCUAUGUGACCCUUUGCAGAGGACAGGAAAAAUAGUGCCUGGAACAGGGUGUGCCGUACAUCUGAGCAAAAUUCGUCACAGUGCAGUGAAGCCAGAUCAAGCAACAGAGUAAAAUAAUUAAAUGGAUGAUUGAUAAGCAACAGGUGACAAGAAGAUGGUGCCAGACUCCUGUUGGUGGUGCCUACUGAUAGGAUGAGGAGCAAUGGCCGUAAACUGAAACACAAGAAGUUCCAUCUCAAAAUAACGAAGAACUUCACAUGGAAGGUGGCAGAGCACUGCAACAGGUGGCCCAAGAAUGGUGUCUAACUUUCAGGCUUCUGAUUUUUAACAAGAGUUGCAUUUGCUGCAUGAAUUCUCCUGAUCACAGAGGUUUUUGGCAGCCAGGUUAACACUGUUAUGCACUUUUUUAA